GGGGUUUUCUGAGGCAGUUUCCUAUAACAUCUUAAAUUGACUUUCUAAAAGAUGCGACAAUCAUCUCCUCGGGCAUACAUGUACGUAAAUAUAUAUAUAUAUACACUGCACAUUCUUGAUAAUUACUUGAUAAUCCACAUAGAAUAUGCAGUGUGGCAAAGCUUAUAACGUACAAUGGACAGGAAUAAACCCACAUUCCUUCCUUGUGCUGCAAUGCUAAAUUUAGCUGUGGCUGAGUUACCAUACUGGGAGCUGGGAAAAGGAAUGGGAUGGGUGCAAUCAUGUGACAGCAGAACUACAGUCAGCCUUGUUUAGUGUAGAGACUGCAAAAUUAAUCUUAAAAAAAACUAUCAAAAGAACCUCCAUCAAAAUUAUUCUGCCUUCACGGAUUUUUCCUUAAAAUAUUGAGGUUAAAUAUGUAACUGGGGGACAAGGUCAAAGUAACAAAUAGAAAAUCACUGUUUUUAUGGACUAACUUAUGUACAAAUAAAUAAAUAAAAUUUAUUCCCUAAAGCUCAAAAAACAGUUUUUUGCUCUUUGCACAUGCUGUCUAACAUUUCAGUCAUUUGCUGUUUUGCACAACCCUUUACAAUAUCUCAGGUAACUGCUGCUAUAAUACUGUGUUCAUUCCAGUAUUUCUGCACAUGCAAUAUUUUUGAACAUUCAGUAUUUACACUGGCCGGCGCUGUUUCUGUUUAUUGUCUUUUGUGUAUUGUCUUUUGUGUAUUGUCUUGUAAUUUUUUGUUUGUACUGUCUUUUGUCCUGUACUGUCUUGUCUGUCUUGUAUUUCUUGCCCUGCACUGUUUGCACCACUUUGCACAGUUGCACUUUAUGUGGCUAGGACUACUUACUAAGUCCUUAGCUCUGUCUUUGUUUUAUGUAGCACCAUGGUCCUGGAGAAAAGUUGUGUCAUUUCACUGUGUACUGCAAUGAGUAUAUAUGGUUGAAAUGACAAUAAAAGCUUCUUAACUUGACUUGACUUGAAAAGAAAGACAAAACCCAACCCCAACAUAAAUGCACCCCUACUGGUGAAUACAGUAUUUACAGUACAUCAAUAUAGUUACUAUACAAAAAUAAAGCCAUGCAAACAAAAACCAUGGGAUAGAUCAAGCUCCACUUGGCCAAUGGAGCAGCAGCUGAAGCAGAGCCAAAGGCCAGGAAUGUAGUUUGGUGUAGAUCAACUUGCAACAGGCUUCAAACCAUUUGAACUCCUCUUUUAAUGACAACUUUUAGGACUGUUUUAUGUGGCCUGUGAGACCUGAGAAGAGCCUCUCUUGCAUUUCAGGUCCCUUGUUGAGUAUGUGCAGGACCUCUGGUCGUUCCAAGAAUAUUAAAGUCUACUAAAAGUGGAAGAGCGUUUUCGUAUGUAGCUACCAAAUUUUGGAAUAGCCUUCCUGACAUUGUUUGGGUCUCAGACACAUUUUGCCAGUUUAAAUGUAGUUUAAAGACCUAUAUAUUUGGUCAGGCAUACACAUAAUAUUUCCCAUAAUCUUCUGCUCUAGUACAUGCACAUUAUCAUCUAGUGCUUGCUGACAUUAUGAAUAGCAGCUAUGCUAAUUCUUCUACACUUUCUCUCUUUUUCUACGCAUCUUGAGGCAUUUGGAGUUUAAGAUUUUGGACCUUCAUUGAGAUGAGGGCAACCCUGUGGCGAUCCUGAGGCAUUUAGAGAUGUACCAGCUCCAGAUUGACUUUGCUUCAUGAAGUUUUCAGACAUUCAAAGAGGAGAUGCCAACCACAUGUGGACUUUGAGGACAACAACCCCUUCAUCAAUACACAAUUGUCAGACUGUAUAUUAUUAAUCACACUCUUUAUUGUCACCCAAAUAAGGAUGGGUUCCCUUUUGAGUCUGGUUCUUCUAUUGGUUUCUUCCAUUUUCAUCUAACAGGGGGGCACGGUGGCUUAGUGGUUAGCACGUUUGCCUCACACCUCCAGGGUCGGGGUUCGAUUCCCGCCUCCACCUUGUGUGCCUCGGGGGUUUCCUCCGGGUACUCCGGUUUCCUCCCCCGGCCCAAAGACAUGCAUGGAGUGGAUCAACCAAGUGGCUCUGAUCGUCUGGGAACACAGAAGCUGCACCAACACAGUGUCUACAACUGAUCAGCCCAGCCUUGCAGUGGGUGCUGCUCCAGAUCCCACAGAGCAUACCUUCAUCCAGGGAGAUAGGGAAAGGAGCUUCACUGGUGACUGACAACACUCCUCUGCAGUGGGUGGACACUAACACCAGGGUAACAAGAAUAUUCCUUACAUUGCUGGGCUUUGCAGGUGACAACAUGGGUCUAAGAAAAGAAAGGGCCAAACUCUCCAUCAGAGAAGCAAAGAAUGCACAUGCCCAGAGAAUCCACAUAUUCAAUUUUCUGUGUGAUUUUAUUUAACUCCUAGUUCUUUAUUAUUUUAUGUUCCUCUGCAUUUAUAUGUGGGAAGGUCGUGGAAGAAGGUUGAUUCAUUUCUCUAUGUACUGCACCAGCUACACAUGGUUGAAAUGACAAUAAAACAUUCUUGCCCCCCUUUAGUUUGACAAGAAGUACUUUGUUUAACCUAUUUGUCAAGCUCUGCACAUUCUAGUCACUUAUAUAGAACAGCUUCACCACUUUUACUGAUUCCCCCAGGUCUCUGAAAAUGAAUUCUGCAGGAUAUUCCUCCUUUUGGUGGACCAGUUUAUCAGCCAACUUUUUCAGAGUACCUCCCACCCCAUCUUCCAUGACCUGCUUCAAAAAUCAGUAUUGUGUUGUGGAUGCCUUCUUGUAAGACUCCACAGACAUUAUGUAAAUAUUCUUUGCUGUUACUGGGUGGUAAGGCCAUAAUUUAAAAAUAAAGAUGUUAUGAAAUGUUCGUAUGUGUCCAAACUACUGCAGGAUCAUGGCUUUCAAUUGUAUGCCUAUGUGAUCCACCAAAUUUUAGUCUUAACUUCUGUGCUUAGAAUUGCAAUUUAUAAUGAAGUAUUUGUCUGUGGGACAAGCAAUGGAUGUCAGCUUUUCACAGUAUGUCAUAUCAGUUGCAUUGCCUCCAUAUAUUAAA